GGAUGGUUGGCGGAGCAGCCGAACGCGCACGAUUGCUAGUCGUGUAACCCUGACGGGUUCGCAGGUGCGAAUCCUGCACCAUCCG
rnacentral:tRNA from 2 species